AAUCAACGCUGGCGGCGUGCCUCAGACAUGCAAGUCGAACGCGAAAGUCCCCUUCGGGGGACAAGUAGAGUGGCGCACGGGUGAGUAACACGUAGGUAAUCUACCUUUGGAUGGGGAAUAACAACCGGAAACGGUUGCUAAUACCGCAUAAUGCAGCGGCACCUAAUGGUGACAGUUGUUAAAGCGGGGGGAUCGAAAGACCUCGCGUCUAAAGAGGAGCCUGCGGCGGAUUAGCUAGUUGGUAAGGAAUGGCUUACCAAGGCUACGAUCCGUAACCGGCCUGAGAGGGCGGUCGGGUCACACUGACACUGACAUACGGGUCAGACUCCUACGGGAGGCAGCAGUCGGGAAUUUUGGGCAAUGGGCGAAAGCCUGACCCAGCAACGCCGCGUGAAGGAUG
rnacentral:rRNA from 1 species